GAUGAACGCUGGCGGCGUGCCUAAUACAUGCAAGUCGAGCGAACAGACGAGGAGCUUGCUCCUCUGACGUUAGCGGCGGACGGGUGAGUAACACGUGGAUAACCUACCUAUAAGACUGGGAUAACUUCGGGAAACCGGAGCUAAUACCGGAUAAUAUAUUGAACCGCAUGGUUCAAUAGUGAAAGACGGUUUUGCUGUCACUUAUAGAUGGAUCCGCGCCGCAUUAGCUAGUUGGUAAGGUAACGGCUUACCAAGGCAACGAUGCGUAACCGACCUGAGAGCGUGAUCGGCCACACUGGACCUGGGACACGGUCCAGACUCCUACGAGAGGCCGCAGUAGGGUAUCUUCCGCACUGGACGAGAGCCUGACGGAGCGACGCCGCGUGGGUGAUGAAGGUCUUCGGAUCGUGAAACUCUGUUAUUAGGGAAGAACAAAUGUGUAAGUAGCUAUGCACGUCUUGACGGUACCAGAUCAGAAAGCCACGGCUAACUACGUG
rnacentral:rRNA from 1 species